CGCGGGGCACCCGCCCGCGCCGCUGCCCGGAACCCCGCGCCCCCAGGCGCGCGGGGACCGCGCCGCCUCCGGAGCUCGGCGUGAAGACGCGCCGCGCAGCUCCCGGGAUGGGGCAGAGUUUGCGCCCGGCCUCCGGCACGCUGGCCGCGGGCGUCCGCGGGGAGGACCCGGGAGCAGAGCCCGGGGGCCGCCGCGGUCCCGGCUUCGGGGCCCCUCCCCCACCCGGGCGCCUCCUCUCCUCGCUCCGCGGCCCUGCCCGGGCACCCCCGUCGCGGCACCCCGGACCUCCGCCUCCAGGUUACUCUUGGAGCAAAGGCUGAUGUGAAGGGAGUUCUGCAGCAAUUGGGAGACUCCCACCCAGAGGUCACAGGGCUGCUGGAGGCCCCGGGGAACUGGGAGCAGAGGGGGUGCAGCCCAAGGCACGGGGCGCCGUUGGGCCCAGGAAGCGAUGAGUUCAGAGCAGCACCGAGUCGGACGAUCUGAACAGACUGCCUGGGAGACAUGACCUGCGAUGGAAAAGUCAGGCAGGGUGUGGGGUGCGACCAUCUGUCCUGAGCGCAGGCCUCAGAAAAAACAACGUAAAUUGAAAAACAAUAGGCUGUCCGUGAAAUCCAUCUACUGUCCCCCGAGCUGGCUCCUAAUGUCCCCAGCG